AUUGAACGCUGGCGGCAUGCUUUACACAUGCAAGUCGAACGGCAGCGCGGGCUUCGGCCUGGCGGCGAGUGGCGAACGGGUGAGUAAUACAUCGGAACGUGCCCAGUAGUGGGGGAUAGCUCGGCGAAAGCCGGAUUAAUACCGCAUACGACCCGAGGGUGAAAGCGGGGGAUCUUCGGACCUCGCGCUAUUGGAGCGGCCGAUGGCAGAUUAGCUAGUUGGUGGGGUAAAGGCCUACCAAGGCGACGAUCUGUAGCUGGUCUGAGAGGACGACCAGCCACACUGGGACUGAGACACGGCCCAGACUCCUACGGGAGGCAGCAGUGGGGAAUUUUGGACGAUGGACGAAAGCCUGAUCCAGCAAUGCCGCGUGUGUGAUGAAGGCCUUCGGGUUGUAAAGCACUUUUGGCGGGAACGAAAAGGACUGUGCCAAUACCACGGUUCGAUGACGGUACCCGCAGAAUAAGCACCGGCUAACUACGUG
rnacentral:rRNA from 1 species